UACGGGGGGGGCAAGCGUUGUUCGGAAUUACUGGGCGUAAAGGGCUCGUAGGCGGCCAACUAAGUCAGACGUGAAAUCCCCCGGCUUAACCGGGGAACUGCGUCUGAUACUGGAUGGCUUGAGUCCGGAAGAGGAGAGUGGAAUUCCUGGUGUAGACGGUGAAAUGCGCAGAUAUCAGGAAGAACACCCGUGGCGAAGGCGGCUCUCUGGGACGGUACUGACGCUGAGACGCGAAAGCGUGGGGAGCGAACAGG
rnacentral:rRNA from 1 species